CAGAUUAACGCACAAAUAUGCAGACUAACGCAGUCAUACAGGUUUCAUGUCCUAAAGUUUAUGGGUUUGGUUGAGAGGACAAAUGGCCUUACUUGUGUAGAAAGUCGGGUAGGCAAAAGAACUGUUUCGUGCACUAUCGAGGGAAGCAACAAACAAUGAGAAAGCGUGCAACGGAUCAACUGCGGGCCUAUAUACACAAACACGAUCCCCAUGGACGAAGCUUUAUAUUUUCUGUUACUUUGUAAUAUUCUCGUCCAAUGAUUACAU